GCAAGUCAUACGAGAGUUUUUAACUCAAGUGGCGGACGGGUGAGUAACACGUAAGAAUUUGCCUUUAGGAGGGGGAUAACAACUGGAAACGGUUGCUAAUACCCCAUAUGCUUUUGAGUGAAAUGGAUUUUUCCGCCUAGAGAGAAGCUUGCGCCUGAUUAGCUUGUUGGUAAGGUAACGGCUUACCAAGGCGACGAUCAGUAUCUGGUUUGAGAGGACGAUCAGACACACUGGAACUGAGACACGGUCCAGACUCCUACGGGAGGCAGCAGUGGGGAAUUUUCCGCAAUGGGCGAAAGCCUGACGGAGCAAUCUCGCGUGAGGGAUGACGGCCUAUGGGUUGUAAACCUCUUUUUUCAGGGAGGAAUAAAAUGACGUGUACCUGAAGAAUAAGCAUCGGCUAACUCCGUGCCAGCAGCCGCGGUAAGACGGAGGAUGCAAGUGUUAUCCGGAAUCACUGGGCGUAAAGCGUCUGUAGGUGGUUUAGUAAGUCAACUGUUAAAUCUUGAAGCUUAACUUCAAAAUCGCAGUCGAAACUACUAAACUAGAGUAUAGUAGGGGUAAAGGGAAUUUCCAGUGGAGCGGUGAAAUGCGUAGAGAUUGGAAAGAACACCGAUGGCGAAGGCACUUUACUGGGCUAUUACUGACACUCAGAGACGAA
rnacentral:rRNA from 1 species